GAUGAACGCUGGCGGCGUGCCUAAUACAUGCAAGUCGAGCGAACGGACGAGAAGCUUGCUUCUCUGAUGUUAGCGGCGGACGGGUGAGUAAAACGUGGAUAACCUACCUAUAAGACUGGGAUAACUUCGGGAAACCGGAGCUAAUACAGGCUAAUAUUUUAAACCGCAUGGUUCAAAAGUGAAAGACGGUCUUGCUGUCACUUAUAGAUGGAUCCGCGCUGCAUUAGCUAGUUGGUAAGGUAACGGCUUACCAAGGCAACGAUGCAUAGCCGACCUGAGAGGGUGAUCGGCCACACGGGAACUGAGACACGGUCCAGACUCCUACGGGAGGCAGCAGUAGGGAAUCUUCCGCAAUGGGCGAAAGCCUGACGGAGCAACGCCGCGUGAGUGAUGAAGGUCUUCGGAUCGUAAAACUCUGUUAUUAGGGAAGAACAUAUGUGUAAGUAACUGUGCACAUCUUGACGGUACCUAAUCAGAAAGCCACGGCUAACUACGUG
rnacentral:rRNA from 1 species